rnacentral:rRNA from 1 species
AAAAACUCCGGUGGUAUGGGAUGGGCCCGCGUCUGAUUAGGUAGUUGGCGGGGUAAAGGCCCACCAAGCCGACGAUCAGUAGCCGACCUGAGAGGGUGGCCGGCCACAUUGGGACUGAGACACGGCCCAAACUCCUACGGGAGGCAGCAGUGGGGAAUAUUGCGCAAUGGGGGAAACCCUGACGCAGCAACGCCGCGUGAGUGAGGAAGUAUCUCGGUAUGUAAAGCUCUAUCAGCGGGGAAGAAGGAAGACGGUACCCGACUAAGAAGCCCCGGCUAACUACGUGCCAGCAGCCGCGGUAAUACGUAGGGGGCGAGCGUUAUCCGGAUUUACUGGGUGUAAAGGGAGCGUAGACGGCGUCGCAAGUCUGAAGUGAAAGCCCGUGGCUCAACCGCGGAACCGCUUUGGAAACUGCGAGGCUGGAGUGCUGGAGAGGUAAGCGGAAUUCCUGGUGUAGCGGUGAAAUGCGUAGAUAUCAGGAGGAACACCGGUGGCGAAGGCGGCUUACUGGACAGUGACUGACGUUGAGGCUCGAAAGCGUGGGGAGCGAACAGGAUUAGAUACCCUGGUAGUCCACGCGGUAAACGAUGAGUGCUAGGUGUCGG